UACAGAGGUCCCAAGCGUUGUUCGGAUUCAUUGGGCGUAAAGGGUGCGUAGGUGGCGUGGUAAGUCGGGUGUGAAAUCCCGGGGCUCAACCCCGGGACUGCAUUCGAUACUGCCAUGCUUGAGGACUGGAGAGGAGACUGGAAUUUACGGUGUAGCAGUGAAAUGCGUAGAGAUCAGUAGGAACACCAAUGGCGAAGGCAGCUUGCUGGGCCGACCCUGACGCUAAGGCACGAAAGCGUGGGGAGCGAACAGG
rnacentral:rRNA from 1 species